ACGCACGCUGGCGGCCUGCCUAACACAUGCAAGUCGAACGAGACCUUCGGGUCUAGUGGCGCACGGGUGCGUAACGCGUGGGAACCUGCACUUAGGUUCGGAAUAACUCCCCGAAAGGGGUGCUAAUACCGGAUAAUGUCUUCGGACCAAAGAUUUAUCGCCUUUGGAUGGGCCCGCGUUGGAUUAGCUAGUUGGUAGGGUAAAAGCCUACCAAGGCGACGAUCCAUAGCUGGUCUGAGAGGAUGAUCAGCCACACUGGGACUGAGACACGGCCCAGACUCCUACGGGAGGCAGCAGUGGGGAAUAUUGGACAAUGGGCGAAAGCCUGAUCCAGCAAUGCCGCGUGAGUGAUGAAGGCCUUAGGGUUGUAAAGCUCUUUUACCCGGGAUGAUAAUGACAGUACCGGGAGAAUAAGCUCCGGCUAACUCCGUG
rnacentral:rRNA from 1 species